rnacentral:lncRNA from 1 species
GGGAGGAGCCAAGAUGGCCGCAUAGGAACAGCUCCAGUCCACAGCUCCCAGCGUGAGCGACGCAGAAGACGGGUGAUUUCUGCAUUUCCAUCUGAGCAGGCUUUUCUUCUUGGAGCUGAAACAGGCGCACUGGCGAGGGUUGUGAGGAAAGGUUUGCAGCCCCCUGCCUUGGUCUGCUAUAGCCAGUGACACGAUCAAUACCAGGGUGAGCAGCAGAGGAAGCUCAGGGAAGAUUAUGAAGAUGAGGUCUUCUUUGAUAACAUGUCAAGGAGUUACAUUUGACAUAGCCCUGUUAUUUUUACCACAGGAAUUUGCCUGAGUUCUGAUCAAUGCUAAAAACACCAUUUAACAGUGCCCUUUCCUGCCUGGGAAGCCCACAAAGAUUUCGCUUUUCACUUAUUACUCAUCAAACUGACUCUGGUUCACAGUGGAAAAGAGAAGAAAAGCUGAUGGAGAAAUGGCAGUGAAGAAGGAGAACAAAAUGUCAGAGCAAUACUUUUGAGCGACUAUAUCC